rnacentral:lncRNA from 1 species
CCCCGCCGCUGCCGGGCUGGCUCCCUGUGCCUGCCGAGCGCCGGGACACCGCCGGCUCUGGAGCCUGGCUGCAGCCGAGAUGCGGUCCCAGAGGCGAGGGCAGCUGCCCCGCUCGGCCCGGCCAGCUCAGGACGGCUCUGAGGGCGGCGCUUCUCCUGGCACAGGACCCUGCUGAUUGCCCUUCCCAGACGCAGGCAGGCAGCUGGAGCGAGCGUGCCUGCAUGAUCCCUCCACAGCCCGUGAGAGGGAAUGCCUGGGCACCCCUGGGAGCCUGGCCCAAUCUCAGAUGCCAACCAGGAUUAUUCAGUUACCACUUUGCUUAAACAUAGUAUGUGUUGCUGAGAAUCUGGCACUACUAUUCAAAAGUAAAAGAAGAAGUGGGCUCUGUGUCCUGGAACUGCAGUGUCGUGCUUCUGCACGGCACGCACGCUUUGCCUCCAGUGCAGAGUGAUCCUGCUGAGACUGGAGGAAUGCAUGGGGAACGGAGGCUUGCCACAACAUCCUGUCUCCAUUAUGUCUUUUGGACCUCUGCCACAGAAAAGAAGGAAUUUUAUCCUUCAUUUGUAAGUAAUUAAGAUGAUAGCAGAGUUUGAAUUUUCCAACUUUGUGAAAACAAACUAAUAGCAAUGAUCCACUUCAAUAACUCAGAUACUAAUUGACACAAGAGAGAGAAACAAUACAUUAAAAAAUAAUUAACUUUUGUUAAUUAAUUUUUAGGAAUAGGAAGGACACCUGCAGCAUGUGCAGAUGUUUGCAAGUGUCAUUAGACUGGGAAGGUUGUGCAGUAGUUUGGAAAUAGAAACAGGUAAAAAGGACUAGGAAUGAUCUGCAGCACCAUUUGAGAAGUAAAGUAUGUGAUUGCUAGAGAACUGCAAUAAAGGUGAUGAAGAUGUGCA